rnacentral:ncRNA from 2 species
GGCCCCAUCAUCGGGGACGAUAGUCUGAUCCCAGACCUGCGAUAGGGAAGCCGGUGCGAUUCCGGCGCGGUCGCGCCACUGUGUCGGGGAGACCCGGAGUCAGACCCCUGUCGCUCCAUCGCUGCACUA